rnacentral:rRNA from 1 species
GAUGAACGCUGGCGGCGUGCCUAAUACAUGCAAGUCGAGCGAACGGACGAGAAGCUUGCUUUUCUGAUGUUAGCGGCGGACGGGUGAGUAACACGUGGAUAACCUACCUAUAAGACUGGGAUAACUUCGGGAAACCGGAGCUAAUACCGGAUAAUAUUUUGAACCGCAUGGUUCAAAAGUGAAAGACGGUCUUGCUGUCACUUAUAGAUGGAUCCGCGCUGCAUUAGCUAGUUGGUAAGGUAACGGCUUACCAAGGCAACGAUGCAUAGCCGACCUGAGAGGUUGAUCGGCCACCCUGGACCUGAGACACGGUCCAGCCUCCUACGGGAGGCAGCAGUAGGGAAUCUUCCGCAAUGGGCGAAAGCCUGACGGAGCAACGCCGCGUGAGUGAUGAAGGUCUUCGGAUCGUAAAACUCUGUUAUUAGGGAAGAACAUAUGUGUAAGUACUGUGCACAUCUUGACGGUACCUAAUCAGAAAGCCACGGCUAACUACGUG